rnacentral:rRNA from 1 species
AGUGAACGCUGGCGGUAGGCCUAACACAUGCAAGUCGAACGGCAGCACAGAGGAGCUUGCUCCUUGGGUGGCGAGUGGCGGACGGGUGAGGAAUACAUCGGAAUCUACUCUGUCGUGGGGGAUAACGUAGGGAAACUUACGCUAAUACCGCAUACGACCUACGGGUGAAAGCAGGGGAUCUUCUGACCUUGCGCGAUUGACUGAGCCGAUGUCGGAUUAGCUAGUUGGCGGGGUAAAGGACCACCAAGGCGACGAUCCGUAUCUGGUCGGAGAGGAUGAUCAGCCACACUGGAACUGAGACACGGUCCAGACUCCUACGGGAGGCAGCAGUGGGGAAUAUUGGACAGUGGGCGCAAGCCUGAUCCAGCCAUACCGCGUGGGUGAAGAAGGCCUUCGGGUUGUAAAGCCCUUUUGUUGGGAAAGAAAUCCAUCUGGUUAAUACCCGGGUGGGAUGACGGUACCCAAAGAAUAAGCACCGGCUAACUUCGUGCCAGCCGCCGCCGUAA